rnacentral:lncRNA from 1 species
GCCGACGAGGCCGGGGACCCGGCGUGUAGGGGAGGGGGCGGGGCUAGGCGCGGCCUUGACAACCAUCACAGCGCCUCGGGCCGGGAGGCCGGGAGACUACGUUUCCCAGGGGGUCCCUCGCGGUGGAGAAGGGACGGGGAAGCGCCUUGGGCCCAGCGCGCAGACGUGAGAGCUGCCUCUGACUAUAUAAGGGCCGU